rnacentral:lncRNA from 1 species
AAUCAUCAAAUUCUAGUUGCGGAUUUGGAAUACUCCUAUUGAUUUUGUUGAAGGAAAGGUUCAAAAACUCAAGUCUUGAAGGCAGAUUCCAAAACCAGUUGGGCAUGGUACCUGAAAUGUUGUUGUUAGAAAUUCCAUAAUGAAAAAAUUAGUUUGCCAUCGAAGCCAACUCAGAAAUUGUGGACCAAGCUUACAUGAACGCAUGUCAAUAUAAUCAAAGAUUAAAUAGAAGGAUCUAAUCAAAACUAAGAUUAAAAGAUAAAGAAUUAAAGGAUCUGGAUAGUUCUUUCAAUUUGGUAAGAUUAAACAGGUGAACUUCGAAAAUGACACCAUGUAAGUAGUUAGAGGAAACAUCCAACAGCUCAAGUUGAGACAUUUUCCUAAUGUUGACCGGAAGAGGCCCUUCAAGUUGGUUUCUUGAAAGAGAUAAUUAUCUCAAUGAUGAUAAUAUUGAAAGAUCAGGCAAUGCUCUAGUCAUUUGAUUCCUGGCCAAAACCAAAGCUUCUAGAGAAUCAUUGGCACACCUACUUAAGUUUUUGACAACCCCGAAGAUCCGCUGAGCUUGUUAUCCCUUAAGUCUAACUCUUUUAAAUUGCAAAUAUUCCCCAAUAACUUUGGUAUUCCACCUUCAAGAUUAUUUCCUCUUAAAUUAAUACGUUGGAAAGCUGCCAUGUUGUUAAAAGAGAGUGGGAUUGAACCCGAUAAGUAAUUAUUAGAGCAAUUGAGUUCAACAAACUUUUGACUUAGAUUCAGCAACAAAGGAAAUGUUAAGGUUGUAAAGUAGAUGAUGUCAGGUGAAAAACAGAUAAAGAAUUUGAAUAAUUAAAAUUGGAAAGAGAUGAAGGAUCAACCUUUAGAAAAUCACAAUGGUCAAAGUGUAAUAAUGAGAGGGAAAGAUGAAAUUGAAUAACUUGGAGCCAGUUUGUAGCUUUUGUAAAAUUGGUGGAAUUAACUUUUAGUGAUUUCAAAGAACAAAGAUGAGAAAUCCAUUCAAGGUUGUCGGAUUUCAAUUAAUGAAGUUAAAUAAGAUCAGGAUCAAGAUAAAUCAACCUAGAAGGAUUCCCAAGCUUGUGAGGAAUGAUCCCAGUGAAAGGGUUGUAUGAGAGAUCGAUAAGUGAGCUCUAAAUGUAACACCCUUAACCCGAAUUCAUCGCCAGAACAGGGUUACGGAGCAUUAUCGGAGUUUAUAAAUUAAUUAUCAGACAUCUUAUUUUAUCUAGCAUUCGUAUUAGAAACCAACCAAAAUCAUACAUAUUGUCCCUUAAACAGACCCUCGAGGCCCAAAUUACUAAUUAGAAAUAAAUAGGGACUAAGUUGAAAACUCAAAAAAAAUUCAAAAAAAUUUAAAAUUUUCAACACUGCAGGGGUUACACAGCCGUGCGGCUAGGUUGUGUGACUCACACGGUUUGGAGACACGCCUGUGUCUCAGGCCGUGUGGGAAUUUUGUUUUGUGCAAAUUUAAGAAACAUGGGACACAUGGUCGAGUCAUUUGGCCGUGUGUCACACACGAUUGUGACACUCGCCAGUGUCUCUGCCCGUGUGGACGAAAAUAGGUCAUUUUACAAGUCAUAUUUCUCACUCAAUUCUAUGUCAAUCUACAAUCAACAAUACACAUAUCAACAAGCCAUAUUUAGAUAUCCAAAACAAGCCAAAAUAAGUGAUUAAACUCAACAAAUUACAUAUAGGCCAUCAUUAAAAUAAAUACCUAUAUACAUGCCAUUAUAACUAAAAUCAAAACAUUCGAAAAUACCGAUAAAACCAAUGGAUAGUAUGAUAUAACUCCUACAAGCUUCCAACCCAAUCGAACUUCCGAUAAUUUGAAAAAUAAAGGAAAACAAAUACAUAAGCAAUGAAUGCUUAGUAAGCUCGUAUAAACUUUAAUCAUAAUAUUUUUUUUCAAAUAUGAAAUUUAUACAUAUCAAGAAUAAUUCAAAAUUGAUACCGUAAUACUAAUGAAGCUAUAUUCAUCCACUCACAAGGUGAAUAAAUCCAUAACAUCACUUAUACAUAUUAUCCUAAGCUUAGUAAGAUUUAAAUAACUUUAUCUUUUCAAAAUUUCUUUAUUUUCAUUUGCAUUUCUUUAUUUCCAAGGUGAAUAAACCAUUUUAUUUUAACUAUUUUCUUUGUCAAGAUUUCACACAAGGUAUAAAGACAAGUCUUUGGAAGUCUAAUCCCAUUCAAAUCACAAAUAUAUAUAUGAUUGAUUUCAUUCGUUAAAUUUUUCUAGAAGCUUUGAUUUUGGCCAAGAAUCGACUGACUGGAGCAUUGCCUGAUCUUUAAAUAUUAUCAUCAUUGAGAAAAUUAUCUCUUUCAUGAAACCAACUUGAGGGGCCUUUUUCAGUCAGCAUCAGGAAAAUGUCUCAACUUAUUCUCUUGGAUGUUUCCUCCAACUCUUUGCAUGGUGUCAUUUCCGAAGUUCACCUAUUUAAUCUUACCAAAUUACGAGCAUUGUCCUUAUCAUUUAAUUUUUUCUCCUUCAAUCUUAGCUCUAAUUUGAUCCCUCCAUUUCAACUUGAUUAUAUUGGCAUAGGAUCAUGCAGUCUUGGUCCACAAUUUCCAAGUUGGCUUCGAUGGCAAAAUGAUAUCUCCUGCUUUAAUAUUUCUCACUCCAAUAUUUAAGAUGCUAUCCCUGAUUGGUUUUGGAAUCUACCUUAUUCAGAACUAAAUUAUUUGAACCUUUCCUCUAAAAAAAUUAGUGGGAGUAUUCCAACCUUGCCACUAAAAUUUGAUGAAUUACCUUUAAUAUAUUUGAGUUCGAAUAUAUUUCAUGGUCCCAUACCUCUAUUUUUUUUUAAUUCGUUCAGUUUGAAUUUUUCCAACAACAUGUUCAGUGGAUCUUUGUCGUUCUUCUACAUGACGAUAAUGAAUAUUGAUUUGGAUUAUCUUGACUUCUCUCAUAAUUUGUUAUCAGGUAAGAUUCCAGAUUGUUGUAGCAAGUACAUAUUAUUAGGUGCAAUCAGUUUGGACAACAAUAAUUUUUGUGAGUAAUCCCUAAUUUUUUGGGCUCACUAUAAAAUUUGAAGUCACUCAUUGGAAAAUUGUACACAACUAGGACUUCUAGAUUUGGGAGACAACAAAUUGACUGGAAUCAUUCCACCAUGGAUAGGAGAAAGACUCGAUGGGUUGAUUGUUCUUCGUCUAAGAUCAAAUGAGUUUCAUGACAACAUACCUUCAACUCUAUGUCGCCUACUGUUUCUUCAAGUAUUGGAUCUUUCUCUCAAUAAUAUAUCAAGAGCCAUUCUUUCGUGCCUCAACAAGUUGACUGCCAUGGCAAGUGCUGCAAGUUUUGAAGCAAUGACUUAUUUAUGGGAGGGGAGUUUUGGUAUCGCCGACGAUGACAACUUUAUAUUUAGUUUCAAUGAUCAUCUGUUAGUUGUAUGGAAAGGUUUUAAAAGAGAAUAUGACAACACCCUUGGAAUGUUAAAGAGUAUUGACUUGUCAUGCAACAAAUUAAGUGGAGAAAUCCUUCGAGAAUUAGCAAGUUUUGAAAGGUUAAUUAAUCUGAAUCUUUCAGGAAACAUGUUGAGGGAAAGCAUAUUUAAGGAGAUUGGCCAAUUAAAAUCAUUGGAUUCACUCGAUUUGUCCACAAAUAAUCUAUCUGGUAAAAUAUAGGAAAGAUCUUUUCUGAGCGUUUUGGAUUUUUCGAACAACAAUUUGUUUGGAAAAAUUUCAUCAAGCAUUCAGUUGCAAAGUUUCAAUGCUACUUCAUAUUCAGGGAAUCCGAGACUGUGCGGAGAAUCAUUAUGCAAAUGUCCUGAAGAUGAGCCACCAAAGGUGCCUAAUAAUGGCAAUAUUGAAAGAAGCAAUAAAAGUGAUGAAGGAUUAUUUGAGCUUAUGUGGUUUUUUAAUGUUGUUGUCAGAAAUAUCCAUAAUGGAGAAAUUAGUUUGCCGUCGAAGCCAACUCAGAAAUUAUGGACCAAGCUUACAUGAACGCAUGUCUAUAUAAUCAAUAUGAAAUAGAGGGAUCCAAUCAGAGCUAAGAUUAAAAGACAGAAUUAAAGGAUCUGGACAGUUCUUUCAAUUUGGUAAGAUUAAACAGGUGAACUUCAGAAAUGACACCAUGUAAAGAGUUGGAGGAAACAUCCAACAGCUCAAGUUGAGACAUUUUCUCGAUGUUGACCAGAAGAGGCCCCUUAAGUUGGUUUCCUGAAAGAGAUAAUUUUCUCAAUGAUGAUAAUAUUGAAAGAUCAGGCAAUACUCUAGUCACUUGAUUCCUGGCCAAAACCAAAACUUCUAGAGAAUCCUUGGCACACCUACUUAAGUUUUUGACAACCCCGAGAGAUCCGCUGAGCUUGUUAUCCCUUAAGUCUAACUCUUUUAAAUUACAAAUAUUCCCCAGGAACUUUGGUCUUCCACCUUCAAGAUUAUUUCCUCUUAAAUUAAUACGUUGGAGAGCUGCCAUGUUGUCAAAAGAGAGUGGGAUUGAACCCAAGAAGUAAUUAUUAGAGAAAUUGAGUUCAACAAACUUUUGACUUAAAUUCAGCAACAAAGGAAAUGUUGAAGGUUGUAAAGUAGAUGAUGUCAGGUGAAAAACAGAUAAAGAAUUUGAAUAAUUAAAAUUGGAAAGAGAUGAAAGAUCAACCUCUAGAAAAUCACAAUGGUCAAAGUGUAAUACUAAGAGGAAAAGAUGAAAUUGAAUAACUUGGAGUCAGUUUGUAGCUUUUGUAAAAUUGGUGGAACCGAUUUUCAGUGAUUUCAAAGAAGAAAGAUGAGAAAUCUAUUCAAGGUUGUCGGAUUUCAAUGAAUGAAGGUAAAUAAGAUCAAGAUCAAGAUAAAACAGCUUAGAAAGAUUCCCAAGCUGAUGAGGAAUGAUCUCAGUGAGAGGGUUGUAUGAGAGAUCGAGGCAAGUGAGCUCUGAAUGUAACACCCCUAACCCGAAUCCAUCGCCGAAACAGAGUUACGGAGAAUUACCAGAGUUUAUAAAUUAAUUAUCACACAUUUCAUUUUUAUCUAGCAUUUGUAUUAGAAACCAACCAAAAUCAUACAUAUUGUCCCUUAAACGAACCAUCGAGGCCCAAAUUACUUAUUAGAAACAAAUAGGGACUAAGUUGAAAAUUCAAAAAAAAUUCAAAAAAAUUCAAAAAUAUUUAAAAUUUUCAACACUACAGGGGUUACACGACCGUGUGGUUAGGUUUAUAUCAUAUAAUAUUCAGGUCAGAAACCAAUUAAACUCAUACAUAUUAUCCUUUAUUCGAGCCCUCGAAGCCCAAAAUACGCGUUAAAAAUAAGUCGGAACUAAUUUGAAAACUUCAAGAUUUUUUCAAAAAAUAUUAAAAAUUUUCAAAACUGCAGGGUUCACACGGUCAAGAGACACGUUCGUGUCUUAGGCCGUGUAGGCAUUCAAAGUAAGGACACGGUCGUGUCUCAGCCCGUGUCUGUACCCGUGUAACUCUCUGACUUAGGUUACACGGCCAAGCCACACGCACGUGUAAAAAAUCAUGUGCCCUUUUGAAAUGACCUCGCACGCCUGUGUGCUAGCCGUGUGUCUCACACGGCCCAAACACAUGCCCGUGUGUCUGGUCGUGUGGACUCAAAAUGUACCUUAAAUAACAAGUUUACCAUUCCCUGCAAGCUUGGACACUAAGCAAUUCAAAAAUUAUUCGUUUAACCAAUUCAAAACACAACCAAACACAUUCAAAUCAUGUCAAAAUAAUCAUCCUAGGUGCCUAAUCAAUGUAUCCUCAUUGGUACCACAUUUAUAUCAUCAAAACAUAUCAUUAAAACAUCAUUCAAGUCCCAAUUAUAAACAUAUUCAAGUCCAAAUUAUAAACAUACCUAAUUCAAUCCAUUUUGCUUAAUUUAUUAACACUUAAACAUCAAUUUAACAUGCCAUAAUAAAGCUUCAAAAACAAACACAUGUUUAUAUGUAUAUAUCAAACCAAUAUUAAACUUUCCAAUUUUGUUUGUAUUUUAAUAUUGUUUCUCAAUGAAUUAUUUAAACACUCUUAUAUAAAUCUUUUUUAAUCGAAAAUGUUAAUUGGGAUCUAAAAUCAUUUGCUUUAAGAAUAGUAAUUAAGUUGAUUACCUAAUUUUCAAUCUCAGUUAACAUCAAAAUAUUUCUUUUUGGUGCAUUAACAGGAUAGCACAAACAAUUAUUAUUAAUCCAAGUUGGCAGACCCCAAUAAACAACCGAAAAAUGGAUAGCGUUUUAUAUCUCACUCUUUCAAUCCAAGUUUGUGUUGCAACUUCACCACCAUUAGUGCCAUUCUUAAUCUGAUCCACUCUCUUAACUUGUUCACCAACUAAAAAUAUUUGUCUCCAAGACCUAUUAAUCACCAAUGAACCAAGAAUCCCCCAAAAUCCUACAAGAAAUCCAGUAGUCAUCCCAAUAAAAAACCAUAGAGGCUCAAACAAUCCAUCACAUUCACUGUAUGUUUCAGUACCGCUAUUGUUAGGCAACUUUGGUGGCUCAUAUUAAGGACAUUUGUUUAAUUAUUCUGCGCACAGUCUCAAAUUUCCUAAAUAUGAAAUAGCAUUGAAUCUCUGCAACUGAGUGCUUGAAGGAAUUUUUCUGGACAAAUUGUUGUUUGACAAAUCCAAAAUGCUGAGAAAAGAUAUUUCAAACAUGUUUUCUGAGAUUUCACCAGACAAAUUAUUUGUGGAAAAAUUAAGUGAAUCCAAAGCCAAUCUCCCUAAUUUUGCUUCCUCUUAACAUGUUUCUUAAAAGAUUCAAAUUUAUCAACCUUUGAAAACUUGCUAGUUCUCGAGGUAUUUCCCCACUUAAUUUGUUGCAUGACAAGUCAAUACUCUUUAAUAAUCCAAGUGUGUUGCCAUAUUCUCAUUCAAAACCUUUUUAUUUAACUAACAAAUGCUCAUCAAAGUUCAUCAUUUUACCACCAUUAAAAUGCACGAAAUAAUUCAUCCCUAUACCAACAUUAAAAUCCAUGAAAGUUAUAUCCAUUAUAGAGAUAGCUUCCAUAGAACUUCCUAAUGGCAAGUGAAAGCGCAACAACAAAUCAAAGGGGUCAGUGAAAUGCUUCAUUUGUGAUCGUUUACAUAUGAUGAGGGAUUGUCCAAAAAGGUUUGUGUUUUCUGCCAUCGAAGGGGAUGAUCAGAUAAAGCAUCAAUGAGACUUGGUUCGAUUGUGCGUUCUGUCGAAGCCAAGAGGAUCAGAGAGAAUCAGAAGAAGUCAGUGAAGUGUUUUUUUUGUUGUGGUCCGCAUAGGAUGCGAGAUUGUCUAGAGUAAUCUAAGUUGUCCACGAGCAAUAAAAAAGUUAAAGCAGAGCUAGAGAGUGAGGCUUUAAAGCUUGAAUCAAUGAUACUCAGUUCUGCUAAAACGAAGAGGGAUUGCAAGCAGAAAUGGUUGAUGUUUGUGGAUAUCAAAAUUGUAGGUUGAAGGUCAAUGGCUUGUUGUGUUCUUUGCUUUGGUGGAACUGUUGAGAGUUGCCCUAUCUCAGUAGACAACAAUCCAUGAUGACAAUGAAUACUGUCCUAGGACCGUCCGAAUGCAUUGCUAGCUUUGAUGUAAACAUCCAUCUUGGUAAUGCCAACAGUUGUAUAAAAGAUUGUUCCACAGAACGUGUCAUCAGGACAAAAACCAAGUUCAUCGGGUUAUCAGCCAUGCCUUUUCCAACAAACUCAUUAUGCAACACCAUGGAAAUGUUCAACCUAUAGAGUUCAGCUUUGGGUCCAAUGCCACUAACCAUUAGCAAUUGAGGAGUCCCAUUUGCGCCACAUGAUAAAAUCACUUCACUCCUUCAAUUAUUAGUCAAAAAUGCCUAAUGUUGGUUCCCAUUUUCAUCUUUGAACAUCACUCUCAUUGCCUUUGGCCACUCCCUACUGAUUUAUCGAAUAAGACUUUUUGGACAGUGGCAUACACUAAAACAGUAAGCAUUUCCGGGUCAGUAGAAGCAAGAAGCUCAGCCACCGUAUGACGAUGCCCAAAUCGGUCGAAAAUGGUGCCUCCAACUUUAGUUCUAUAGAUAUGGUCGUAGGUGAAUCCAUUAUAAGGUGAGACCCCAAUAUUUAAAAGACUGUCCUUGAAGGCAUCUUGCCAUGGUGCUAGUUUAGGCUGGUGAACAAUCUGUUUCUCCAUCCAUGGAUAGGACUCGUUCACUAGCCUAGCAUCCCAUCCCACUCUCAUAAAAAAAAAAGAAAUUGAAUUUAAUCCAAUUGGUGGUGCUUGUGCCCUAGUAAAUCAUAAUCUUAGUAGGCUGUACCAAAUUAAAUGUAUAGGGCAAAUAAUGAAGUACAAAUAAAUGUCAUUGCUUUCUAUUUCGGAUUCUAUACUAGACCUUACCUAAUCAUAUCUCUGAAUCAACCAAAUUAAGGCAGAAGGACCACUCAAUAUCACAUCCAAACAUUUAAUAGGUGACACAAUAAAAGGGACAAAAAUUUAAAGAAAAAUAAGAAUAUUUAAGGAAAAAAAGAUGACUUCAUUGAAAGGAAGAUGUAAUCAUUAAUGGGUUCUUUUUAUUUUUCCAGUUUUACAAUUCAUAACAAUAACCUAAUCAAUUUUUCUUGAUAACCGAAACAUCUACAUCCUUGAUUUUAAUUAAAAAAAAAUUAAAUGGGAUCACCAACUAAUUUAAGAAUUUUGGCGAUAUGGGGGACCCUAAAUACUUAAUAAAUACUUUCUUGUGGACAAUACUUAAUGAUUUUCAGGUUUCACAUGUAUAUAAAAAAGUCAACUAUUGUUGGACCAAAUUCUCUUUUAUUUGAACUUUUUUUCUUCAACAUCAGGAUAAUUUACAGUCACUUUCAGAGAUCAUUAGGACCUUAAUGCAACCAUAUUAAGUUCAAAUGUAAAAAAACUCAAACAAGAAACUCAUAUGAAAAAAAAAAAAAAGGUUGAAAUGAAAAGAUAUCUAACUACGCCCAUUUAAUUAAAAGGAAGUAAAUUGUAGAAAAAUAAAACAAAAGGAAAAUAGGGGAUCACAGUUGACAUUAAUUUCUUCCCAAAUUUUCCAGAAACAAAAUGCAUCUUAUAUUGAAGAAGGAACAUAUGUAAAUAAAAUUAUUUUCAGAUUGUUUUUUCACCGAUAGAUUAAGAAAAACUAUAUAUACCCAAAAAACAAAACAAGAAGGAGAUGAUAUAUAUAUGCAGAAAUAGUGGAGAAAGAUGGGAAAAGAGAAAGAGAUGAGAGAAGAAGGGAAAACCUUGAAGAGAUGAGAGAGCGUUGAGCCAAAUAACCAAAGAGAUAAAGAGCUUCACUGCCCCAACAAAAGAAGCCAUUGAAAGGCCUCAGCACAACAACAGAAACUCACAGCCCAAAAUAAAAAUAAUAUUAAUAACUCCCAAAGAUAAACAAGUUCCUAUGUGGCUUUCACCGGUUGGCCUUGUUUUGUGUGUUUAUUGUUUAACACUCACUUAGAUAGUUAUAUAUAUAUCUACACACACAGAGUUGAAGCCUUCAGAGGUCAAAAGCUGAUCAAUGAUGGAUGAAUAAAAAAAAAACACCAAGAUACAGUAUGGCAGAGCAAGUACAACACAGAUUAUAUAUAUAAGGGGUAUUGCAACCAACAAGGAAUGCAGCUAUCAACAAUAUUUAAAGAUCACUGAUUAAAGGGGUAGCUGGUGUAAGUCACUACUGGUGAAAUGGAUGUCACAGUUGGAGUAGGAUAGAAACGUCUAACUAACAACAGUUAAUGCAAACAGAAGAACAAGCCAUAAGUGAAAAUGAAAAUGAAGUCUGUAAAACCCAUAUUUUGCCCGGCCUUGCAUUAAACCCAAAUAAAACAGGCCCAAAAAGUUUUACAAUGGCCUAAUACUGAAUGAAAUGAACCAAAGCCAGUAGGCCCAGGUUUUUGGAGUUUUCAGAACCCAUUCCCUUACCCCCUUGCGCUGCUGCUGCCUUCGAGCCAGCCUCUACGCGCGCCAUUACUUCAGCCCACGCUUCCACCUUCCAUAUUUCACGUUCACACGCCCAUGAACGCACUCUUCACGUCUCCACGUACCUGCAAAAUGGAGAAUAGCAAGGAACCGUUUGUAUAGGCUAUAAAGCCUUCGAUUUUUUUUAAUUGUAAGGGGGGUGGUUUUUCUUUUCUUUUUCAUUUUUCUCAAAGAGAUAGAACACAAGUUGUAUACAAAAUACAUUAAAAAAAUCAAUAAAAAGCAACCAAGAGAUAUUCAAAGGUGGUGAUUGCUGUUUGAUUUCGUUUUUCUUUUUUUCUAUUUUCAUCAAAUAUACUAAGAUAUAAGAGAAAGGAGGAGACUUACCGGAGUUGCAUCACGCUCACGACAGCUGAUGGCUCGACUCCGUUUUCCAUAGUCGGAUUUUGAGGCGGUUAAAGCUUGGCCAUUCGUCUGGGGGGUGAGUAGUGGGAGUAAUAAAGUUUUUUUUUAAGAAACAGAAGUUAAAAGUGUUUUCUUUAGCAAAAGAUUGGCUUUAAAACAAACUUUUUCUUUUAAUAAUAAAAUAAAUGCUUGAGAGUGAGAAGCAGUAACAUUUGGGGGGUGGGGGAAGGCGUGUUGACCCAUUUGCCAGGCU